UGGAAAAAUACUGAACGGUUUAGAAUGUGAACCUCGUGACUCUUUAGAGCCAAAGAGGGGAGGGACUUGUGCUGUAUUUAAUGAGAAACUUUGUUAGCCUCGGGGCGCCUUUUUCUCAGAAGGGUGCCCAACUCUGCAGACUUGCUAAUAAAACUUUGUUUUCCUGAAUUUGUCUAGAGCGAUUAUUGAGAAGCGAUUUUCGUUUCUAACAAGUACUAUCUGGCUUGUUGUGCUUGAUGCUGCAGUGCUCCAUCAUGCUGAAGUUAUACAGCGCACAGGAUGCAAGACUAAUGCUGCACACACUCUCAGAACUGUACUACAAUGCCAGCAAUCAGACCAAUGCAAGCACUGGAACUUCAUCUUCAACAAGUCUAUCAUCUGCUCCAUGAUUACUUUUUUGGAGGAAUAGUAGACAAGCAGGAGGUUGGAAGAACACAGCAGCCAAACAGCAUCAGGAAGUGAAGAAGUCGAUGUUUCAGACUGACUCCUUUGAAGCCUGCUGACGUAUGCACGAUUGUGAACGGACCAAGAGUGUGGACUGUUGCACACGAUUGGUAUAGCCUUUGGACCAUUGUAUAACUCUGUUUGGUUGUCAAUUGAUUCCAAAUGAAAACCUGAAGACGACUUGUUCCUCUGAUUAUUCUCUGUGUCUCCUAAUGAGUCCCAGAAGUAAGUUCUCUGCCCUUCCCUACUCCCCACCCCCGGCAGCCAAAGGAGACACUGUGAAUAAGAAGACCAAAAGAGUAAAGAUGAAAAAGAACUGCUUUGUUUCAGGAAGAGGAAGGACAAAAUGGAUGACAGAUUACAUCCAGCAAGAAAUCAAGGUACUACGGAAGCAAAGCUAAGAAGAGGAACUUAUUCAAAUGGAGAACUCAAAAAAAAUUCUUAAGUAAGCUUGCCAAAAGUUGCAAAUAAAAACCAAGUGUAAUGUUAAACAAAAUCUACAAUAGAAUGUAAAA